rnacentral:rRNA from 1 species
GAUCAUGGCUCAGGAUGAACGCUAGCGACAGGCUUAACACAUGCAAGUCGAGGGGCAGCACGGUGUAGCAAUACACUGGUGGCGACCGGCGCACGGGUGAGUAACACGUGUGCAACCAACCCCCGUACGGGAGAUAACCCGCGGAAACGUGGACUAACAUCCCAUAAGACUCUAGAGCCGCAUGGCUCUGGAUUUAAAAUUCCGGUGGUACGGGACGGGCACGCGCGACAUUAGGUAGUUGGCGGGGUAAGGG